AUACGAAAGGUGCAAGCGUUGCUCGGAUUUACUGGGCGUAAAGAGAGUGUAGGUUGUUUAUUAAGUCGGAUGUGAAAUCCCGGGGCUCAACCUCGGAACUGCAUUCGAUACUGGUAGACUAGAGUUCGGGAGGGGUAAGCGGAAUUCCGUGUGUAGCAGUGAAAUGCGUAGAUAUACGGAGGAACACCUGAGGCGAAGGCGGCUUACUGGACCGAUACUGACACUGAGACUCGAAAGCGUGGGUAGCAAACAGGAUUAGAAACCCCAGUAGUCC
rnacentral:rRNA from 1 species